rnacentral:lncRNA from 1 species
UUUGAAAUCUUAUCCCAAAACUCCACUCCCCAACUCUAAACCCUAAAACCUAAACUCUAAACCCUAAAACCUAAAUCCGAAACCUUAAACCCUAAAUCCUAAACCCUAAACCCUAAACCCUAAACCCCACCCCUUAACUCUAAACCCUAAAUCCCACCCCUAAACUCUAAACCCUAAACCCUAAACUCUAAACCCUAAACCCUAAAUCCUAAACCCCACCCCUUAACUCUAAACCCUAAUAUCUAAAUUAAUUUACCAUUGGGGU